rnacentral:rRNA from 1 species
UCAAGCUAAUAAGGGCUAACGGUGGAUACCUAGGCACACGGAAGCGAAGAAGGACGUAGUUACCGACGAAACGCUUCGGGGAGCGGGAAGCAAGCAUUGAUCCGAAGAUAUCCGAAUGGGGCAACCCUAAACACGACCACCUGAAUACAUAGGGUGGAGCGAGCCAACCUGGUGAACUGAAACAUCUUAGUAGCCAGAGGAAAAGAAAGCAACAGCGAUUCCCCCAGUAGCGGCGAGCGAAAAGGGAACAGCCUAAACCAAGUUCUUCGGAACUUGGGGUCGUGGGACAGUGACAAAAGACUGGGAAAUUUAGACGAAGCGGCUGAAAACCGCACCAGAGAAGGUGAAAGUCCUGUAGUCGAAAAAGGCACCAGCUUAACUGCAUCCCGAGUAGCAUGGGGCACGUGAAAUCCCGUGUGAAUCUGCCUCGACCACGAGGUAAGGCUAAAUAUUCCCGUGUGACCGAUAGAGAAACAGUACCGCGAGGGAAAGGUGAAAAGAACCCCGGAAGGGGAGUGAAAUAGAACAUGAAACCGUUAGCCUACAAGCAAUGGGAGGACGAUUGAACGUCUGACCGUGUGCCUGUUGAAGAAUGAGCCGGCGACUUACAGGUUAUGGCAGGUGAAGGGGGAAGACCCCACAGCCCCAGCGAAAGCGAGUCUGAAUAGGGCGAAACGUCAUAAUUUGUAGACCCGAACCCGGGUGAUCUAACCAUGGCCAGGAUGAAGCUUGGGUAAAACCAAGUGGAGGUCCGAACCGACUAAUGUUGAAAAAUUAGCGGAUGAGCUGUGGUUAGGGGUGAAAUGCCAAUCGAACUCGGAGCUAGCUGGUUCUCCCCGAAAUGUGUUGAGGCGCAGCGGUAGUGGAAGUUUAGUCGGGGUAAAGCACUGUUUCGCCGCGGGCUGGGAGACCGGUACCAAGGCGAGGCAAACUCUGAAUACGGCUAAAAAAACUACCAGUGAGACGGUGGGGGAUAAGCUUCAUCGUCAAGAGGGAAACAGCCCAGACCACCAGCUAAGGUCCCCAAAUGAUAACUAAGUGAGAAAGGAGGUGGGAGUGCAUGGACAACCAGGAGGUUUGCCUAGAAGCAGCAAUCCUUAAAAGAGUGCGUAAUAGCUCACUGGUCAAGCGCUCCUGCGCCGAAAAUGAACGGGGCUAAGUUAUCUACCGAAGCUGUGGACUACAUUGUAGUGGUAGGGGAGCGUUCUAUAGGGGGUGAAGCAGUAGCGGCAAGCAGCUGUGGACUCUAUAGAAGUGAGAAUGUCGGCUUAAGUAGCGAAAAUGUGGGUGAGAAUCCCACACCCCGAAACCCCAAGGUUUCCUCCGCAAGGCUCGUCCGCGGAGGGUCAGUCAGGACCUAAGGCGAGGCUGAAAAGCGUAGUCGAUGGACAACGGGUUAACAUUCCCGUACCGAUUAAUGAUUGUGCCGGAGAACGGAGAAGGUCAACGUCAGCUGGAUGUUGGUUACCAGUGCAAGCAGUCAAGGCGAUGAGAGGUGGCGAAAACACCAGGAGCUAAGACGCGAGUCCCACCUCCCACGGGAGGGAAGUGGCGCUGAUCAAGCUUCCUAGAAAAGCCCGAACCACGUUAAUCAUUAAUUGCCUGUACCCGAAACCGACACAGGUGGGGAAGUAGAGAAUACUAAGGGGCGCGAGAUAACUCUCUCUAAGGAACUCGGCAAAAUGACCCCGUAACUUCGGGAGAAGGGGUACCCUCGCAAGAGGGUCGCAGUGAAUAGGCCCAGGCGACUGUUUACCAAAAACACAGGUCUCCGCCAAGUCGUAAGACGCAGUAUGGGGGCUGACGCCUGCCCAGUGCCGGAAGGUUAAGGAAGUUGGUCAGGAGUAAUCUGAAGCUGACGACCGAAGCCCCGGUGAACGGCGGCCGUAACUAUAACGGUCCUAAGGUAGCGAAAUUCCUUGUCGGGUAAGUUCC